rnacentral:rRNA from 1 species
UGGGGAAUUUUGGACAAUGGGCGAAAGCCUGAUCCAGCAAUGCCGCGUGUGUGAAGAAGGCCUUCAGGUUGUAAAGCACUUUUGUCCGGAAAGAAAUGGCUCUGGUUAAUACCUGGGGUCGAUGACGGUACCGGAAGAAUAAGGACCGGCUAACUACGUGCCAGCAGCCGCGGUAAUACGUAGGGUCCAAGCGUUAAUCGGAAUUACUGGGCGUAAAGCGUGCGCAGGCGGUUGUGCAAGACCGAUGUGAAAUCCCCGAGCUUAACUUGGAAUUGCAUUGGUGACUGCACGGCUAGAGUGUGUCAGAGGGGGGUAGAAUUCCACGUGUAGCAGUGAAAUGCGUAGAGAUGUGGAGGAAUACCGAUGGCGAAGGCAGCCCCCUGGAGUAACACUGACGCUCAUGCACGAAAGCGUGGGGAGCAAACAGGAUUAGAUACCCUGGUAGUCCACGCCCUAAACGAUGUCAACUAGUUGUUGGGGAUUCAUUUUCCUUAGUAACGUAGCUAACGCGUGAAGUUGACCGCCUGGGGAGUACGGUCGCAAGAUUAAAA